ACUUCUUUAUUUUGAUAAUGCAGUUUAAAUAUUUGCUUAUGAUGCAGUGAGAUAAUAUGCCAGCUAAAGCAACGGCAACUCCAGGAAAAUCGUGUGUUUGCUGCUGUUAAUAAAAUGCAGAUCCAAUUAGUGUCCGUCAGCUGUGCGGAAAUACGAGUAUCUCCAGUGGAGUCCAUACUCGAUGGUAGGCUUGAUGGAUAU